rnacentral:rRNA from 1 species
AGUGAACGGGGAAGAGCCCAGCGCUGAAUCCUAUAGCCACUGGCUAUUAGGAGCUGUAGCGUAUAGGUGUAACUGUUCGGUUUUCUUUACUUACCCAAAGUUCCCUUGAGUGGGGCUAUUGUCCAUAGAGGGUGCUAGGCCUGUACGGGUAGUGAAGUUACUGAUAUUGGUUACUCCUUGGAGUCGAGUUGCCUGGGAACGCAGCUCAAAGUAGGUGGUAAACCUCAUCUAAGGCUAAAUAUGACUACGAGACCGAUAGCGAACAAGUACCGUGAGGGAAAGUUGCAAAGAACUUUGAAGAGAGAGUUCAAGAGGGCGUGAAACCGCUGAGAAGGAAGCGGAUAGAGUUGACGAAACACAGUGGCAUUCAUCCAAUCAGUGCUGUUGAAUGCCGUAUAGUUGUACUAUCAUUGUGAUAGGCAAUUGUAUGGUUGUUUGAUGGCUGCUUGGUUGGUGCUUUUGCCAUUGGUAUGCGCCAAGAGGUUCGCUGUGAUGCGUUGAUACUAAUUAAAGAGGACUGCGCUCGAAUGAGUGUAGAAACCUUUAGUGGUUGAGGCGUAUUCAUGGUGAAUUGCUGUUAUCGCAGUUAUAUCGCUUGCUAGUUAGCGCAAUUGAUCAUUAUGCAGCUACUUUGAUUGUUGAGCAGUCGCAUGCGACUUGCUUACAGUUGAUUGUAACUCAUUGAUGAUGGCAAUUAUUGCGUUGGCGAUAUAUCUUGGUGUAAAAGUUGACCACCUAUCCGACCCGUCUUGAAACACGGACCAAGGAGUUUAGCAUAUACGCAAGUCAUUGGGUGGUAAACCUAAAGGCGUAAUGAAAGUAAAGGUUACUUUAAUGUAACUGAUAUGGGAUCCGCAUAGGAUAGCGUUAAAAACUAACUAUGUGGCGCACCAUAGCCCCGUCCCCAUUGCUUGCAAUAGGGCGGAGGUAGAGCGUAUACGCUGAGACCCGAAAGAUGGUGAACUAUGCCUGAGCAGGAUGAAGCCAGAGGAAACUCUGGUGGAAGUCCGAAGCGGUUCUGACGUGCAAAUCGAU